rnacentral:rRNA from 1 species
GAAACCGCGAAUGGCUCAUUAAAUCACACCUAAUAUACUGGGCAGUCUCAGUUACUUGGUAUAACUGCGGUAAUUCUGGAGCUAAUACAUGCUUUCGAUCCCCGAACUUGCGUGAGGGGUGCUUUUAUUAGAUCAAAACCAAACGUCCUCGGACGUCCCCCUGGUGAUUCUGAAUAACUUUUUGCCGAUCGCACGGCUUCACGCCGGCGACGUGUCCAUCUAAGGUGUGCCCUAUCAACUGUCGACUGUGGCAUAGACGCCCACAGUGGUUUUGACGGGUAACGGGGAAUCAGGGUUCGAUUCCGGAGAGGGAGCCUGAGAAACGGCUACCACUUCUAAGGAAGGCAGCAGGCACGCAAAUUACCCACUGGUCGAAGACCGAGGUAGUGACGAAAAAUAACGAUACCAGACUCAUCCGAGGCCUGGUAAUCGGAAUGAGUACACUUUAAACCUUUUAACGAGGAACAAUUGGAGGGCAAGUCUGGUCGGGCGGGGGCGGCGGGACGGGCGCGGGGCGCGGCGGGCGA